ACUAUUCUAACGAUAUAAAUAAAAUAACCAUUAAUAGCGCAAAUUGUUCGAUGAACUGGAGGCCGAGCACCCUAGACUCCUGGCUCGCUGGGGUUUGUGUACACAGCGCGGACACCACGCAUCCGUCAGGUAAACCGAGCGCAGGUGAGGUCCCCGCAGGCGCGUCAGCGGGACCGGCUCGUGACACGCACAGGCCAAGACACGCACGCGGUUCCGGACAGACAGACGCACACGCGGAGAACGCCGCGUGAGUUCACUGAAAAAAGGGAUACCCAAGAAUACUGCUGUCUGAUCUCAACUCAGUGGAGGAAAGAUUCACAGCCUCCUUCCUUGGGUUUGGCAAUCACCCCUCACACCCACCCUCAGCCACCAGCACAGGAACAUUUACUACACAAGAGGGCUCUGUGAGAAAACUGCUCCUUAGCAAGGCUGAAGGACUGCCCGAGGUCACAAGACUACAGAAGAGGUAGAACGUGGCUCCAAGCCCCUCUGGUGGACUCCAGGGUCAAUGCUUUGGCCCAACAUAGGUGUGAUUAUAAUUUAAAGAAAGCCCUGUCUUCCUCAGAUCCAACCCCAAAGGCAGUCUCACUGCCUCUGUGGGCUCUCUCCUGCGGAGAAGAAUUUCACUGGUGCCAACUCUCACACAAGCAUGCUUCUGUGGUUUGAGUACCUACAAGCUUACUGGCUGUGGGAGGUAUAAAAUGUUCAUAUGUGCCCGCAUCCAUGCUCACUUGCUUUGUGUAUGGGCACAAUUACAUACACACACAAACACAGGCCACACUUUCUAUUAUACUAAUGGGUAAAUGGGUGUGUAUUUUUUUAAGUAUAAAUUGCAGUAUAAUUUCAAUGUGGUUUUUAUUACUUUCAAGAACACACACAGUCAUUACAACUCUGGUAAUAAAAUCUAUUCCCUCUUCUCUGACUGCAAAUUAGACAGGUCCUUAUGGGACCACUUUGUACAAGACUAAUUGUAAUGAUACCAUAAAUUGCCUGUAUGGAAAUAGUGCAUCUGAUUGUCAUGAAAGCUAGUUCUCAUCUUGGAUCAUAUAAACAUUUCUCUCCAAAUCUCAUGUCACUACAAGUAAUUCACAUUGUGAGGGGAAAAGGAGGGAGGGGAAUUCAGAAUGAGUGUUAGCCCAGUCCUCCUGUUUUGACCACACUCAGAAAGGGCAGAGCUCUACUGUGGAAGCUACAUUUAUGGGGAGUCCUGCAUGCCUUCUUCCCCCUGCCUAUCCACCUGUGCACAUACUGUUGUCUUCACACAGGAAGUCACCUUCCUUUUCAUUUAAGGAGAAAGAU